rnacentral:lncRNA from 1 species
AUUUUAUCGCAGUUUUUUGCACGGCAGAUUUUUUAUUUUAAUUGAAUGUGUUAUUUUUAUUUUUUUAAUAGUCUACAUUAAUGAAAAAGGGAAUGCACCAAUUUAAUUUGUAAAAGAACACAAUAAGGACAUGCAUGCAAAAUACAUGUUUCUAACCCAAAAAGUAAAAUAUGAACAUUUCAGCCUACCUUAUUUCAUGUUAUCAGUGAAAGUCGCAACAUUGGUCGUGUCCAUGAAAUGAUAAAACAUUCCUCCUUUGGAUAAAUGUUCAAACUAACACACAGCACAUCACAUAUCCCACACAGGUAGUCUGAUGAUGCACGUUUCUCUAACCCCCAUCCCUCAGCAGUAAGCUACCACCUCUUCAACUGCAGCUCAAGCAAAGCAGUAACUAUAAUACCGGGGUUUGGGGGGGGGGGGGCGUUACAGAAAAACACAGUUCCUACUGCAACUUUUUUGGGGAGGUCAUAGGACAAAAGCUUGAUAUAUUCUCUAAGCCAUGCUCUUCUCAUUUUUAACGCUCUUUUUUCCCAUUUUUGUCUGUGAGCUCCGUCUCUUCUUCGCUUUCCCACGCUGGCUGAAUGUGCCUUGACCCCCUUCAGAGAAGUUUGACACAGAGCAGGAACAUUUCCGCAUUCCUCCCGACUACAAAGGCUAACCGCCUCCUUUUGCCCUCCUUGGUUCUUUAUCAUUCAUAGUUCUCUCUCGGUUUUGUCUCAGUGUCAAAACCAGCAGCACCACAGGGGGGGAAAGCUGCGCAGCAAGAAAAGUGUAUUUGAUGGACCAGUCGAUCUAUCCGGCCAUUGAAAACUAUUCGUUGACAAUACACCAGCGGGGAAGCAGGGUGACAAGCUCGCCUCUGGCCCAUAAGGUCAGGUUCAAGGACCAGUGGCUUGGGUUGUGUCGGGGUGAUUCUCCCAAAGCGCUCCUUCGAGGGUGCUCGGUUUCACUGCUUCAUCCAAACGUGAGAUGCCAACUGCACACGUGAGAGAUAGUCCAUAGCUUUAAAUGGAUGAAGAAGAAUGAAGCCUGUUUUGCAGCUCUACCGCCACGUUAAUCAUCACUUGUUGAAACAUUUAAAUAUACCCACAUUACAGUUCAAACAUAACACCAGUCAAAGCGAAUACCUUUGUACCAGUAUACCACAGAAUCUGUAAUGACAGUUUCAAGAGCAAUACGUGGAAUGUAGUUUGUUAACCAAACCCACCCUUUUGGGAAUUUACCAGGCUCUUAUUUUUCAGACGAGACCACUGUCAUUGCCCUGAAUGCCACCAUAUGACAAAGUUUGGCAAGAGAGUUUGACAGUUAUGAAUAAGACAUAUAAUUGGCAGCCUUCUAGCAGCCUGAAAGCUGUGGGGUUAAGACAGUUUGUCUCUUUAACCCGAGGCUUAGCAUGGAUAAAGUGAUAACAUAAGCCUGGCUGGAGAGAUAAAGUGGAACAGUCAACCUCUUGGUUGGACACUUCCCAGUUGUGCUGAUGUUUUGAUCAUCGCUCCUGCCCUCUGUUGAGUCAAACUGAAGACCAGAGAGCAGCCAGCUAGUAAAGCCUUCCCUUCCCCAGCCCAGGCCUCUCAAAACAAGCCUCUUUCUGUUGGGAAUCUCCAUGGAAACCAAGCAACUUACUUGAGGAGGGAUAUAAAACCUGCUCUUUGAGGGACUGAAGGAACACCUGCCACCUCUACAGAUGGGGGUCAAAAUAGACUGACACACUGCCACCUCAUAAUGAACAGAGGGUUGUGUAACAUUUAAAUGAGUCCCCGUCCCGAACAUCUGCUCAUCGUCAAUUACUUAUUCACUGAUAACUCCUAUUUUAUCUGUUAAAACAGACCCAAUCUUUACCGGAAAUCACUUGAUGCAAUAGUGUAGUCAUUCAUGAGUAUUGGUUCAGAUUGCAGAUCGGUUAAAAUGACAGUAAUAACUGAUAUGGACUGUUCAUCAUUCUAAGAUUGAAGAUGUUAGGUGCGUAAGGGAUUAGGGAAUCUGCAUCACUCUUGAAGUCCGAGAGCUCUGAAGGUUUUGAAAAUAAGAUAUUUGGUUGUGUGGCCGUUAGUUUGUACAUAAAAUGGGUUCCAUUGAAAUCCAGCAACUGCAUUUUUCUGAUAGCGACACCACACUAUCCCUUGGCUGUUACUGUCAAAGCAAAAACACCUGCAGAAUAGCCUCGCUGUUGUUAUUUUACUGCUGCUCUUUAAUUGUUACUGUUUUUUUAUUUUUUAAACUGCUGUCACGGCUGUUUAAAUGAUCGGACCAAAAUGCAGCGUCUGUUUCGUUCCACAUAUUUAUUAGAUCGUGAAACUUAAUGCAAUAUCAAAAUAAACUUAAGGACAAAACAACAAACCGUGACGCAGGAGGAACAAACACACUCACAAAACACAAGUGGGACAAACAUCAACUUAAAUAUGACCUCCAAUUAGAGACAACGACAAACGGCUGCCUCUAAUUAGAGGUCAUGCCAAACAAAAACCAACCUAGAAAUACAAAACUAGAAACUAAACAUAGAAAUACAAAAACGGACAAACACCCCCUGUCACGCCCUGACCUACUCUACCAUAGAAAAUAACAACUUACUAUGGUCAGGACGUGACAACUGCAUUGUUAGUUAAGUAAGCAUUUCACUGUAAGGUCUACACCUGUUGUAUUCAGCGCGUGUGACAAAUAACAUCUGAUUUGAUUUGAUUUGAUUUGAGAACCACGACAUAAAUAAAAUAAAAGUACUGUUAACCACACCUACAUUACUGGGAUUGUUAGCCACUCCGUCUUUUUGUAACCUUGAUUUUUAGGGCUAAUUGCCCUGACUUUCCAGAGUUCAGGGGUCAAACAGUUUCCCAACAAGCAUUAGGGAACAACAACAAACAAAUACUGUGUGUAGUCACACAGGAAUUCAAUCAACUAUUCAGAUUUUGCGAUUCAAAGGAAUCUCCUUCAAGUGUUACAAUCACUAUAAACAAAUCUUGUCCACCACCACUAUCACUAUCAAUACAGUGAGUCCCUCACAUUUCACAAGGCCCCAUCAACAAGUAGCAUGCAGGGGUCAUCCAUCCAGC